UGAGGAGUUUCCUACAGUGUCUGCCUUAUAUCUCAUGGCUCAGUUUAUCUACCAGGUUUAAAUCCUCAGAUGAAAACUGGUUCUUGGUGAAUCUGUUCAGUGCAGCAUCAGAGAGAGAACAGCAGACAGGAGAGAAGAUACUGGAGCUGUUAUCAUCAGUGUGCAGUUAU